rnacentral:SRP_RNA from 1 species
GCCGGGUGUGGUGGUGCGCGCCUGUAAUCCUAGCUACUCAAGAGGCUGAGACAGAAGAAUCGCUUGAACCUGGGAGGCGGAGGUUGCAGUGAGCCAAGAUUGUGCCACUGCACUCCAGCCUGGGUGACAGAGCGAGACUCAGUCUCAA